UUAUUUCUGGGUUAAGCCCUGAAGGCAUUCGUGCUGGUCGCUAUUUCCGGGUUAAGUCCCGAAGGCAUUUGUGCUGGUUGUUACAUCCGGGCUAAAUCCCGAAGGCAAUUGGGUUGGAAAUUUGCGAUCUUGUCGUAAUAACUUCUAUUGAUGGGCUUACAACCCUAAGAUGAUCAGGUAUGCAUCGUAUAUACAUUGAAAUUAAGUUAAGAUUGACUAUGAGCAUGUAAGUAUAUGGGUUGAAGUGUGAAGUAACAUAAGUAUGUGAUUUUUGCGUAUUUGCAUUUAUUUAGCCUUGUAAUCGAAUUAGAUGUAUUCGGCAUAAUUAUAAGGUUAGUUGGGUAAAAAGAGAUUAUCUACAUGAUACGAAUUCGUGUUUAAGGAAAAAUUUAAGAUGACAUGUAUGAACGAUAGGGGUAUAUUUAAUCAUGGCUACAUUCAGUCAGAAAGAUGAUGAGCCUUCUGAAUGCUAUGCUUUAGUUAUAAAUGAUUUCAUUACUUAAGACUUACUAAGCAUCGAAAUGCUUACUCUUUUUGCCUUCAUUCCCUGUUUUAUAGAUUUUGUUCGUGAACUAUCGGACUCGGGAGAUCCAAAGUCGAAGUCGUCCACACUAUCUAAACCU
rnacentral:lncRNA from 1 species